rnacentral:rRNA from 1 species
CCUACGAGUGGCAGCAGUGGGGAAUAUUGCGCAAUGGGCGAAAGCCUGACGCAGCGACGCCGCGUGAGUGAUGACGGCCUUCGGAUCGUAAACCUCUUUCAGCAGGGAAGAACGGUCCCUGUGCUAAUCAGCAGUGAAUUGACGGUACCUGCAAAGGAAGCACCGGCUAACUCCGUGCCAGCAGCCGCGGUAAAACGGCGGGGGCUAGCGUUAAUCGGAAUUACUGAGGGUAAAGGGCGCGUAGGCGGUAUUUCAAGUGAAGGGUGAAAUCCCCGCGCUCAACGUGGGAACUGCCUUUGAAACUGGCAAACUGGAGUGUGUGAGAGGAGAGUGGAAUUCCAGGUGUAGGAGUGAAAUCCGUAGAGAUGUGGAGGAACAUCAGUGGCGAAGGCGACUAUCUGGCACAUAACUGACGCUGAGGAGCGAAAGCGUGGGUAGCAAACAGGAUUAGAUACCCUUGUAGUC